rnacentral:rRNA from 1 species
AGAGUUUGAUCCUGGCUCAGGAUGAACGCUGGCGGCGUGCUUAACACAUGCAAGUCGAGCGAAGCACUUUUGCGGAUUUCUUCGGAUUGAAGCAAUUGUGACUGAGCGGCGGACGGGUGAGUAACGCGUGGGUAACCUGCCUCAUACAGGGGGAUAACAGUUGGAAACGGCUGCUAAUACCGCAUAAGCGCACAGUACCGCAUGGUACCGUGUGAAAAACUCCGGUGGUAUGAGAUGGACCCGCGUCUGAUUAGCUAGUUGGUGGGGUAACGGCCUACCAAGGCGACGAUCAGUAGCCGACCUGAGAGGGUGACCGGCCACAUUGGGACUGAGACACGGCCCAAACUCCUACGGGAGGCAGCAGUGGGGAAUAUUGCACAAUGGGGGAAACCCUGAUGCAGCGACGCCGCGUGAAGGAAGAAGUAUCUCGGUAUGUAAACUUCUAUCAGCAGGGAAGAAAAUGACGGUACCUGACUAAGAAGCCCCGGCUAACUACGUGCCAGCAGCCGCGGUAAUACGUAGGGGGCAAGCGUUAUCCGGAUUUACUGGGUGUAAAGGGAGCGUAGACGGCAUGGCAAGCCAGAUGUGAAAGCCCGGGGCUCAACCCCGGGACUGCAUUUGGAACUGUCAGGCUAGAGUGUCGGAGAGGAAAGCGGAAUUCCUAGUGUAGCGGUGAAAUGCGUAGAUAUUAGGAGGAACACCAGUGGCGAAGGCGGCUUACUGGACGGUAACUGACGUUGAGGCUCGAAAGCGUGGGGAGCAAACAGGAUUAGAUACCCUGGUAGUCCACGCC